CUAAAAGGAUAAGAAUUUUGAGAUCCUCCUCAAAGUCCAGCACGAUAAAGUUAACAAGAAAAAUAAAUUUCCUAACCCUCACUAACACAACCUCAAGGACUUCCUUGGGGUGUACCAAAGAUUAUUCGACUAAUUGCAAGGUGACUGUCAUUUCCUUAAGCUCUCUCAAACCUAGCCUCCUAUAGAUGAACAGUGGCAUGAGAUUAAUGCUUGCCCUUAAGUCACAUAGGG
rnacentral:lncRNA from 1 species